rnacentral:rRNA from 1 species
UACGGGGGGGGCAAGCGUUGUUCGGAAUUACUGGGCGUAAAGGGCUCGUAGGUGGCCAACUAAGUCAGACGUGAAAUCCCUCAGCUUAACUGGGGAACUGCGUCUGAUACUGGAUGGCUUGAGUUUGGGAGAGGGAUGCGGAAUUCCAGGUGUAGCGGUGAAAUGCGUAGAUAUCCGGAAGAACACCGAUGGCGAAGGCAACCACCUGGGCCUGUACUGACGCUGAGGUACGAAAGCGUGGGGAGCAAACAGG